AGUGAACGCUGGCGGUAGGCCUAACACAUGCGAGUCGAACGGCAGCACAGUAAGAGCUUGCUCUUACGGGUGGCGAGUGGCGGACGGGUGAGGAAUACAUCGGAAUCUACUUUUUCGUGGGGGAUAACGUAGGGAAACUUACGCUAAUACCGCAUACGACCUACGGGUGAAAGCAGGGGAUCUUCGGACCUUGCGCGAUUGAAUGAGCCGAUGUCGGAUUAGCUAGUUGGCGGGGUAAAGGCCCACCAAGGCGACGAUCCGUAGCUGGUCUGAGAGGAUGAUCAGCCACACUGGAACUGAGACACGGUCCAGACUCCUACGGGAGGCAGCAGUGGGGAAUAUUGGACAAUGGGCGCAAGCCUGAUCCAGCCAUACCGCGUGGGUGAAGAAGGCCUUCGGGUUGUAAAGCCCUUUUGUUGGGAAAGAAAAGCAGCAGGUUAAUACCCCGCUGCUCUGACGGUACCCAAAGAAUAAGCACCGGCUAACUUCGUG
rnacentral:rRNA from 1 species